UAAUUUUGUAAUUUACCAUGCAUAUGUUUUUUGUGUAAAAUAUAUUGCACAUUGAAUGACAUCAGAUCUAGAAUGUUAUUCCUUCAUUUAGCACAGAGAUUUCAAAAGUGGCAGAUAGAAUUUCUGAGUAGCAGACAAAAGAAAUACUUGCCUGCCACAGUGGCAGGGAGUGAAAAAAGUUAAUUUCAGACCCUGAUCCUACUAAUCUGUUUA